UACAGAGGGGGCAAGCGUUGUUCGGAAUUACUGGGCGUAAAGGGCGCGUAGGCGGCCUUCUAAGUCGAACGUGAAAUCCCUGGGCUCAACCCAGGAACUGCGUCCGAUACUGGGAGGCUUGAAUCCGGGAGAGGGAUGCGGAAUUCCAGGUGUAGCGGUGAAAUGCGUAGAUAUCUGGAGGAACACCGGUGGCGAAGGCGGCAUCCUGGACCAACACUGACGCUGAGGAGCGAAAGCCAGGGGAGCAAACGGG
rnacentral:rRNA from 1 species